GUUGGAGUAUUGAGGGGAGCUGCUCCUAGUACGAGAGGACCGGAGUGGACUGACCACUCGUGUACCGGUUGUUCCGCCAGGGGCAUUGCCGGGUAGCGACGUCGGGAAGGGAUAACCGCUGAAAGCAUCUAAGUGGGAAGCCCCCCCCAAGAUGAGUACUCCCAGACUUUGUUCUCGGAAGGGCCGUGCGAGACGAGCACGUUGAUAGGCGGCAAGUGGAAGCGUGGUAACACGUGCAGCUGAGCCGUACUAAUGGCCCGAGAGGCUUGACCAG
rnacentral:rRNA from 1 species